rnacentral:rRNA from 1 species
UACGUAGGGGGCAAGCGUUGUCCGGAUUUAUUGGGCGUAAAGAGCUCGUAGGCGGCUUAGUAAGUCGGGUGUGAAACCUCCAGGCUCAACCUGGAGACGCCACCCGAUACUGCUGUGGCUAGAGUCCGGAAGAGGAGAGUGGAAUUCCUGGUGUAGCGGUGAAAUGCGCAGAUAUCAGGAAGAACACCCGUGGCGAAGGCGGCUCUCUGGGACGGUACUGACGCUGAGACGCGAAAGCGUGGGGAGCGAACAGG